rnacentral:rRNA from 1 species
UACGUAGGGGGCUAGCGUUGUCCGGAUUUAUUGGGCGUAAAGAGCGUGUAGGCGGCCAGAUAGGUCCGUUGUGAAAACUGGAGGCUUAACCUCCAGCUGUCGAUGGAAACCAUCUGGCUAGAGUCCGGAAGAGGAGAGUGGAAUUCCUGGUGUAGCGGUGAAAUGCGCAGAUAUCAGGAGGAACACCAAUUGCGAAGGCAGCUCGCUGGGACGUUACUGACGCUGAGACGCGAAAGCGUGGGGAGCAAACAGG